AUUGAACGCUGGCGGCGUGCUUAACACAUGCAAGUCGAACGCGACAGUUUUCUUCGGAAAGCGAGUAGAGUGGCGCACGGGUGAGUAACGCGUAAGUUAUCUACCUCGGCAUCUGGAAUAACUCACCGAAAGGUGUGCUAAUACCGGAUACGUUGAGUAAUCAAGAAAGGUGGCCUCUGCAUAUGCUACCGUGCUGGGAUGAGCUUGCGCACCAUUAGCUAGUUGGUAGGGUAAUGGCCUACCAAGGCGACGAUGGAUAGCGGGUCUGAGAGGAUGCUCCGCCACACUGGAACGGGAGCACGGACCAGACGCCUACGGGAGGCAGCAGUGAGGAAUAUUGCGCAAUGGGGGCAACCCUGACGCAGCGACGCCGCGUGGAUGAUGAAGGCCUUCGGGUCGUAAAAUCCUGUCAGGUGGAAAGAAAUGUCUAUGUGCUAAUAUCAUGUAGACUUGACGGUACCACCGAAGGAAGCACUGGCUAACUCCGUGCCAGCAGCCGCAGUAAGAC
rnacentral:rRNA from 1 species